GGAGUUGAACUGCAAGCCCUGGGAAUUCAACUGAUGAGUGUGAUUUGUGCUUGGGCAUACUGGCCGCCUUCAGUGUCUGUUUAAUUGCAGGUGCCUGCCUUUUUGGUGGGUAUGUGUGAAUCGUUUGCAUACGACGCACGCACUGUUGGUGUGAGGGUCUGCUUGUCAGUGCACUUUCUCUGGGUGUUCACCACGACCGGCACUGCUGCCUGUCUGCUAUGGCCAAACUGAUCAGGUCUGAUUUUUGUCAGUCUUGGUUGGGUCGGCAGGUGACUCUUUGGCUCAUUUAUGGGCUGUGAGUGUUACUAGCUGGCUGUAGUGGAGCUGUGCGGUGUGUUGGAGAUGGCGGCUUCGCAUGCGUGCCUAGACCUUCGGGCAUUGUUGAGUCUGGUCGGCUCGUUACUAGCUUCGGCUGGUCGGCUGAUGGCUUGAUUUUGUCACGUAGGCGGUUGCGUGUGUGGUUUGCAUUGGGCCAAU
rnacentral:rRNA from 1 species